UACAGAGGAUGCAAGCGUUAUCCGGAACGAUUGGGCGUAAAGCGUCUGUAGGUGGCUUUUUAAGUCCGCCGUCAAAUCCCAGGGCUCAACUCUGGACAGGCGGUGGAAACUACCAAGCUGGAGUACGGUAGGGGCAGAGGGAAUUUCCGGUGGAGCGGUGAAAUGCGUAGAGAUCGGAAGGAACAUCAGUGGCGAAGGCGACUUCCUGGACCAAUACUGACGCUCAGGUGCGAAAGCGUGGGGAGCAAACAGG
rnacentral:rRNA from 1 species